rnacentral:rRNA from 1 species
GACGAACCGUGCGAACGUUAUUCGGAAUCACUGGGCUUAAAGCGCGUGUAGGCGGGCCGGUGCGUCCGGUGCUGAAAGCCCCCGGCUCAACCGGGGAAGGGGCACGGAUACGACCGGCCUGGAGGGGGGUAGGGGGACCUGGAACUUCCGGUGGAGCGGUGAAAUGCGUUGAGAUCGGAAGGAACGCCCGUGGCGAAAGCGAGGUCCUGGGCCCUUACUGACGCUGAGACGCGAAAGCCAGGGGAGCGAACGGG